rnacentral:rRNA from 1 species
CAUGCUUUACACAUGCAAGUCGAACGGUAACAGGUCUUCGGAUGCUGACGAGUGGCGAACGGGUGAGUAAUACAUCGGAACGUGCCUAGUAGUGGGGGAUAACUACUCGAAAGAGUAGCUAAUACCGCAUGAGAUCUACGGAUGAAAGCAGGGGACCUUCGGGCCUUGUGCUACUAGAGCGGCUGAUGGCAGAUUAGGUAGUUGGUGGGGUAAAGGCUUACCAAGCCUGCGAUCUGUAGCUGGUCUGAGAGGACGACCAGCCACACUGGGACUGAGACACGGCCCAGACUCCUACGGGAGGCAGCAGUGGGGAAUUUUGGACAAUGGGCGAAAGCCUGAUCCAGCAAUGCCGCGUGCAGGAUGAAGGCCCUCGGGUUGUAAACUGCUUUUGUACGGAACGAAAAGCCUGGGGCUAAUAUCCCCGGGUCAUGACGGUACCGUAAGAAUAAGCACCGGCUAACUACGUGCCAGCAGCCGCGGUAAUACGUAGGGUGCAAGCGUUAAUCGGAAUUACUGGGCGUAAAGCGUGCGCAGGCGGUUUUGUAAGACAG